UACGAAGGGUGCUAGCGUUGUUCGGAAUUACUGGGCGUAAAGCGCGCGUAGGCGGCUUUUCAAGUCAGGGGUGAAAUCCCACAGCUUAACUGUGGAACUGCCUUUGAAACUGUAAAGCUUGAGUGUCGGAGGGGAUAGCGGAAUUGCUAAUGUAGAGGUGAAAUUCGUAGAUAUUAGCAGGAACACCGGUGGCGAAGGCGGCUAUCUGGACGACAACUGACGCUGAGGCGCGAAAGCGCGGGGAUCAAACAGG
rnacentral:rRNA from 1 species